rnacentral:rRNA from 1 species
CCCUGCUUUUGUGGGGUGCUCGAGUGGCGAACGGGUGAGUAACACGUGAGUAACCUGCCCUUGACUUUGGGAUAACUUCAGGAAACUGGGGCUAAUACCGGAUAGGAGCUCCUGCUGCAUGGUGGGGGUUGGAAAGUUUCGGCGGUUGGGGAUGGACUCGCGGCUUAUCAGCUUGUUGGUGGGGUAGUGGCUUACCAAGGCUUUGACGGGUAGCCGGCCUGAGAGGGUGACCGGCCACAUUGGGACUGAGAUACGGCCCAGACUCCUACGGGAGGCAGCAGUGGGGAAUAUUGCACAAUGGGCGGAAGCCUGAUGCAGCAACGCCGCGUGCGGGAUGACGGCCUUCGGGUUGUAAACCGCUUUCGCCUGUGACGAAGCGUGAGUGACGGUAAUGGGUAAAGAAGCACCGGCUAACUACGUGCCAGCAGCCGCGGUGAUACGUAGGGUGCGAGCGUUGUCCGGAUUUAUUGGGCGUAAAGGGCUCGUAGGUGGUUGAUCGCGUCGGAAGUGUAAUCUUGGGGCUUAACCCUGAGCGUGCUUUCGAUACGGGUUGACUUGAGGAAGGUAGGGGAGAAUGGAAUUCCUGGUGGAGCGGUGGAAUGCGCAGAUAUCAGGAGGAACACCAGUGGCGAAGGCGGUUCUCUGGGCCUUUCCUGACGCUGAGGAGCGAAAGCGUGGGGAGCGAACAGGCUUAGAUACCCUGGUAGUCCACGCUGUAAACGGUGGGUACUAGGUGUGGGGUCCAUUCCACGGGUUCCGCGCCGUAGCUAACGCUUUAAGUACCCCGCCUGGGGAGUACGGCCGCAAGGCUAAAACUCAAAGGAAUUGACGGGGCCCCGCACAAGCGGCGGAGCAUGCGGAUUAAUUCGAUGCAACGCGUAGAACCUUACCUGGGUUUGACAUGGAUCGGGAGUGCUCAGAGAUGGGUGUGCCUCUUUUGGGGUCGGUUCACAGGUGGUGCAUGGCUGUCGUCAGCUCGUGUCGUGAGAUGUUGGGUUAAGUCCCGCAACGAGCGCAACCCUUGUUCACUGUUGCCAGCACGUUAUGGUGGGGACUCAGUGGAGACCGCCGGGGUCAAC